CUGUUGGCUGAGGCAGGUCUGCCCUUGAUGACGUGGAUCUCGGGAGGUGGGAAAACACAUUCCCGAUUCAUCUCAGAACACAAGGAAACGCCUCGGAUGGCAAAAUGAAACCCUGGUAGCCGAGCUGCUCUGGAAGAGUGGACGUCAGUUACCAUGAGGAUGCGCCGGACUGUUCAUGAGGGAUCCACCCAGACACCUCCCAGCAGGCACCACCUCCAUGUUGGUCAAAUUUCAACCUGAAAUUUGGAGGGGACAAGCAUCCGAUCUACAUCAGCAUGUCACUGUGACUUAAACAGGUAUGGCUGGUCCCCAUGUGGGGCACCCUGUGAGGCAGGCGUGAGUCUAGGCCAGCAAGGAUGUCCUGGUGGCCACGGCCGAGUGUUGGCCACACAGCUGCGCAGGGACCGUCUUCAACAGUGACACCAUGUGGCAGCAGGUGCAGCGGCAGCAGCAGACGUUGGGGCGUCUCCAGCUCUGGCCCACCCGUGGGAGGGUGGGGAGCUCUUUGGAUUAAAUGAUCUUUCGGAUCCAUGGGCACUUUCUCCGGAACAGGGGCAGGUCUUGAGAGGCGUGUGACCACUUAAGCAGGUAAGAACAGAGGGGAAUAGUCAGGGAAAUAAGGACGCUUGGGGGUGUCUUUGGUGAAGCAGUGUUCACCACAUCGAGGUCGCGCCUAUGAAGAGUCUCCUGUCCGGACAGCGUAGACAGUGCCUCACCUCUGCUGCCCUGCAGGGACCGGCCUUCCCAGGUGCUCCCCUCAGGACUCCUCCUGGUGCCAGGGAAGAGGGGCUGGGCCAGGUGAGGUGGGGCCGCCUUAGGCUUCCCCCAGCAGGAGGGAUGAACGCUUACUUCCCUGGAGGGCGGGAGCUCUACUGAGGAUUCGAGAGUAAUUUUCCAGGCGUCAGGUUUUACGUGGGAUCCUGUGUGGGCUACGAACAAGCCAGUUUUGACUUGCCUGUCAAUUUGCCUAAUGAAUUGGAGUGUGAGCGAGCCAAGUUUGCACCUGCCAUCCUCUUGGUCUAAACUACAGGCACUGCACGUUGCAAGCUAAGGGACUCUGCACAUCCUGACUUCGCCUGGGAAGCUUCUGGAGUCCCGGCUAGUGGACAGUGAAGUGUCCCUGCAGGCUGAACUCCGACUGGUGACAACAGGUCAGCGUCCUCACUCCCUGGAGACUCGGAGCCUGGACUUGCCAAAUUUGGUACCUGCCCAUCGUUUUAUUUAUCUGAGAUGGAGUCUCUCUCUGUGGCCCAGGCUGGAGUGCUGUGGGGUGAUUUUGGCUCACUGCAACCUCCACCU